UGUGUCAUUUCCGAAAUCCACAGGGAAUGUAAAGAAAUUUCUACUUUUGAAGAUGUGGUUCUAAAUGCUAAAAAGUCUGUAGCCUUUACAGAAAUUGAAUCUUCUCUCCAGGAACUAAAAGAGAACAUGUCCCUUAUUCUGGAAGACAGACUAAAGAAUUUAUCUACAAUAUCAGUUUCGAAAGAGAAACUUUAAUCCGAGAUAUCCGCAUUUAGACAACAGAUAAAUCACCACCUUGAUGAAAUACCAGAC
rnacentral:lncRNA from 1 species